ACGGAGGGAGCUAGCGUUGUUCGGAAUUACUGGGCGUAAAGCGCACGUAGGCGGCGAUUUAAGUCAGAGGUGAAAGCCCGGGGCUCAACCCCGGAACUGCCUUUGAGACUGGAUUGCUAGAAUCUUGGAGAGGCGAGUGGAAUUCCGAGUGUAGAGGUGAAAUUCGUAGAUAUUCGGAAGAACACCAGUGGCGAAGGCGGCUCGCUGGACAAGUAUUGACGCUGAGGUGCGAAAGCGUGGGGAGCAAACAGG
rnacentral:rRNA from 1 species